ACAAUGAAGAGUUUGAUCCUGGCUCAGGAUGAACGCUAGCUACAGGCUUAACACAUGCAAGUCGAGGGGCAGCAUUUUAGUUUGCUUGCAAACUAAAGAUGGCGACCGGCGCACGGGUGAGUAACACGUAUCCAACCUGCCGAUAACUCGGGGAUAGCCUUUCGAAAGAAAGAUUAAUAUCCGAUGGUAUAUUAAAACCGCAUGGUUUUACUAUUAAAGAAUUUCGGUUAUCGAUGGGGAUGCGUUCCAUUAGUUUGUUGGCGGGGUAACGGCCCACCAAGACUACGAUGGAUAGGGGUUCUGAGAGGAAGGUCCCCCACAUUGGAACUGAGACACGG
rnacentral:rRNA from 1 species